rnacentral:rRNA from 1 species
CCUACGGGAGGCAGCAGUGGGGGAUAUUGCACAAUGGGGGGAACCCUGAUGCAGCGACGCCGCGUGGGUGAAGAAGCGCCUCGGCGCGUAAAGCCCUGUCAGCAGGGAAGAAAAUGACGGUACCUGAAGAAGAAGCCCCGGCUAACUACGUGCCAGCAGCCGCGGUAAUACGUAGGGGGCCAGCGUUAUCCGGAUUUACUGGGUGUAAGGGGGGCGCAGACGGUGAUGCAAGCCAGGAGUGAAAGCCCGGGGCCCAACCCCGGGACUGCUCUUGGAACUGCGUGGCUGGAGUGCAGGAGGGGCAGGCGGAAUUCCUGGUGUAGCGGUGAAAUGCGUAGAUAUCAGGAGGAACACCGGUGGCGAAGGCGGCCUGCUGGACUGCAACUGACGUUGAGGCCCGAAAGCGUGGGGAGCAAACAGGAUUAGAUACCCUUGUAGC